rnacentral:rRNA from 1 species
AUUGAACGCUGGCGGCAUGCCUUACACAUGCAAGUCGAACGGCAGCACGGGUGCUUGCACCUGGUGGCGAGUGGCGAACGGGUGAGUAAUACAUCGGAACGUACCUUAUCGUGGGGGAUAACAAAUUGAAAAAUUUGCUAAUACCGCAUAAUACUCUGAGGAGGAAAGCGGGGGAUUCGUAAGAACCUCAUGCGAUUAGAGCGGCCGAUGGCUGAUUAGCUAGUUGGUGAGGUAAAGGCCCACCAAGGCAACGAUCAGUAGCAGGUCUGCGAUGAUGACGUGCCACACGGGAACGGGGAAACGGUCAAGACGCCUACGGGAGGCAGCAGUGGGGAAUUUUGGACAAGGGAAGAAAGUCUGAUCCAGCAAUGCAGCGUGAGGUAAGAAGGCCUUCGGGUUGUAAAGCUCUUUUGUCAGUGAAGAAAACUUUAAUAAUAACACUAUUAAAGCAUGACGGUAACUGAAGAAUAAGGACCGGCUAACUACGUGCCAGCCGCCGCCGUAA